UACAGAGGGUGCGAGCGUUAAUCGGAAUUACUGGGCGUAAAGCGCGCGUAGGCGGCUUUGCAAGUCGGGUGUGAAAUCCCCAGGCUUAACCUGGGAACUGCAUUCGAGACUGCAUUGCUAGAGUAUGGGAGAGGGAAGUGGAAUUUCCGGUGUAGCGGUGAAAUGCGUAGAUAUCGGAAGGAACAUCAGUGGCGAAGGCGGCUUGCUGGGCCUGAUCUGACGCUGAGGCGCGAAAGCGUGGGGAGCAAACAGG
rnacentral:rRNA from 1 species